GGGCCCCGCGUUCUCAGGACCGGCGAGGGGCGACCUCACUUCCCCCUCUCACCCCGCCUCUUGCGUUGCCAUGGGAACCUAGCGGUCAAAGCCGGCCUGUGGCGGCGCCGCUGGCCGGCCGGAUCGCCUUUUGCGGACGUUGAGGCGGCGACCGUGGGAGCCCAUGGAGUUUCCAAGUAAAACCAGCAUGAUGACCGGGAAGCGGUCGGGCCUGGGCCGCUGCAGGCACUUCUUCUGGCUGGGCGUCCUCUUCGACACCGUGGGCGCGGCGGUGCUGUUCACCGGCGUCUUCGCCGACCUGUUCUUCUACGACAUGCUGCUCUACCUGGGCGCCAUCAUCAUCUUCUUCAGUCUCCUCUGGUGGGUCUCCUGGUACACCGGCAACAUCGAGCUGCUCCCCGAGGACGCCCUGCCGAGCGGCCCCCGGAGACCCUCGGACUCGGUGGUGAGGAACAUACGCCGGAGCGUCAGCCUCCGCUUCUCCCAGACCUUCGCGACCUUCGCCGUCGCGCUGCAGCGGGUGCGGCGGCGCGGGCUGCGGGGGCGCUCGCCCCGGCUGACUCCGCAGACCACCCCCUGGAGCUUGUCGGUCCCCGACGUGCCCGAAGGGGGACGGAAGAGCGUGGACGCCAGGGACGUCUGCCGGGAGCGUGCGGGCCCCACGCCCGCAGACGACGGGCGUUCGGAGGCAGUUGGCGCCCCAGGCCCGGCAACUGCGUCGAGGACCCAUCUGGAGUGGCCCGCGUUCCCGCAGUACUCCGGGGAAGGGCGGCCGCCUUUACCCAUCCAUCUCUCCAAGAGCCAGCCUGUGACUCCAUUGCCCUCUGCUCUGAAGCCCGAUGCCUUUCCUGCUGCUAGGAGCGACGUCCUUGUUUCCUUGCCCUCUGCAGGCCGGCCUCCAGUUACCCUCCCCGUGACGAGCCAGCUUGCAGUCCCCGGGCUCGCCCAGAGCCACCCCUCCCUGCCUGUGCUCUCUCGGGACCACUCCCUGGUAUCUGUGACCUCGCAAAGCGAGAAUCUUUCUCAUUCUCAGCUUUUCAGUGUUAAGGAUUCUGAAAGCCAGAUUCUGACACCCCAGGUUUCUGAAAUGCCACUUCUGUCCACCCAGUCUUUUCAGAAUGUGGGCCUGCAGCCCUCUCCGGAGAUCCGGGACUUCGUGACGGUUUAUCACUCCCAGCAGUUCUCCAAAAGCUCUUUAUUGCAGGAGCCGUCAAAUCGGUCUUCAGAUCUCCUGGAGAUGUCUAAGAAGAUAGUGGCUCAGGUUUUUGAGAGUCUGCCAUUACCCAUCCAGAAACCACCCCAGCAGAUCCCCGACCCCAUGACACCUGUCUCUGAGGCUGCAGAUCCAGCCUCCCAGUCCCAGCAGUCUGUCCCCACUGACAUCGUAGAUCUAGCCUCCGAGUCCCAGCAGUCUGUCCCCACUGACAUGGCAGAUCCAGCCACUGGGUCCCAGCAGUCUGUCCCCACUGACAUGGCAGAUCCAGCCUCCGCGUCUCAGCAGUCUGCCCCCACUGACAGCGCUCUAGCUUUGUGGGCAGCAAAUAAAGUUCAUCCUCUUUAGUAGGGACCAGACCUCCGCCGUUUGACUGACUGCAGAGGCCUCAGCCAAGAAUGGAUGCUUUUUGAAAUACAUUUAUUUAAGUAAAAAGUAUUUUACACCAAUCAUUUUAAAGAACUGACCAAUGUUUCUACAGAUUUAACUGCCAACUUUAUAAAAGCAACAGUACUUACUCUAAAUCUCGUUUUGGAAACUUCCAUGUGGAGUCCUGACCUAUCUCAGAUCGUAGACUGCCUGUGCCAAGUUGACCUGUUUCAGUGUUGGGAAAGUUUUCCAGCUUUGGAGAAGUUAUCUAUUGCCAGAAUUGUAAAACGUAAUAAAUUGCUAUUCC